rnacentral:rRNA from 1 species
UACGAAGGGGGCCAGCGUUGCUCGGAAUCACUGGGCGUAAAGGGUGCGUAGGCGGGUCUUUAAGUCAGGGGUGAAAUCCUGGAGCUCAACUCCAGAACUGCCUUUGAUACUGAAGAUCUUGAGUUCGGGAGAGGUGAGUGGAACUGCGAGUGUAGAGGUGAAAUUCGUAGAUAUUCGCAAGAACACCAGUGGCGAAGGCGGCCAACUGGUCCGAAACUGACGCUGAGGCGCGAAAGCGUGGGGAGCAAACAGG